GGAUAUUUGAGAGGAGCUGCCCCUAGUACGAGAGGACCGGGGUGGACGGACCACUGGUGUAUCAGCUGUCGACCAACGGCAUAGCUGAGUAGCCAAGUCUGGACGGGAUAAACGCUGAAGGCAUCUAAGCGUGAAGCCCCCCUCAAGAUGAGAUAUCCCAUUCCUUUAAGGAAAUAAGAUCCCUUAUAGACGAUAAGGUAGAUAGGUUCAAGGUGUAAGUGCGGUAACGCAUUCAGCUGAUGAAUACUAAUAGAUCGAAGGUUUAUUCUA
rnacentral:rRNA from 1 species